UACGGAGGGUGCAAGCGUUAUCCGGAUUCACUGGGUUUAAAGGGUGCGUAGGCGGACAUGUAAGUCCGUGGUGAAAUCUCAGGGCUUAACCCUGAAACUGCCAUGGAUACUAUAUGUCUUGAAUGUUGUGGAGGUUAGCGGAAUAUGUCAUGUAGCGGUGAAAUGCAUAGAUAUGACAUAGAACACCAAUUGCGAAGGCAGCUGGCUACACAAAUAUUGACGCUGAGGCACGAAAGCGUGGGGAUCAAACAGG
rnacentral:rRNA from 1 species